CCUACGGUUGGCAGCAGUGGGGAAUAUUGCGCAAUGGGCGAAAGCCUGACGCAGCGACGCCGCGUGAAUGAUGAAGGUCUUCGGAUUGUAAAGUUCUUUUCUAAGGGAAGAAGAAAGUGACGGUACCUUAGGAAUAAGCCUCGGCUAACUACGUGCCAGCAGCCGCGGUAAUACGUAGGAGGCAAGCGUUAUCCGGAAUGACUGGGCGUAAAGGGUGCGUAGGUGGUUCAGCAAGUUAGUAGCGUAACUCCGGGGCUCAACCUCGGCACUACUACUAAAACUGUUGGACUUGAGUGCAGGAGGGGCAACUGGAAUUCCUAGUGUAGCGGUGGAAUGCGUAGAUAUUAGGAGGAACACCAGUGGCGAAGGCGAGUUGCUGGACUGUAACUGACACUGAGGCACGAAAGCGUGGGGAGCAAACAGGAUUAGAUACCCCGGUAGUC
rnacentral:rRNA from 1 species